GAUGAAGAACGUAGCGAAAUGCGAUACGUAAUGUGAAUUGCAGAAUUCAGUGAAUCAUCGAAUCUUUGAACGCACAUUGCGCCUUCUGGUAUUCCGGGAGGCAUGCUUGUUUGAGUAUCAGUAAAAUACCUCGACUUUUUUUCCCCACUCCACUUUGGGUGUGUGCAAUAAAGUUGGACUUGAGCAAUUUUCCAAACUCCUCCGUUUUUUUCUCGGGGGUGUGUGCGGAAUGCUUAAAAUGCAGAUGCGGCUAAUUCUUCCUGGGCUACAAGUAUUUAUGCUUAAUCCGGUCAGACGGGUUAUACCUUUUGCUGCAAGCCAAAUCAUGGAUAAUUUACGCUGACUGAUGCAGGAUUGUUGACAGAUUUUUCUUUCUGUUAUUUCCACUCUAUCUCAAAUCAAGUAAGACUACCCGCUGAACUUAAGCAUAUCAAUAAGCGGAGGA
rnacentral:misc_RNA from 1 species